UUUGGUGACUAUGGCAAAGAGGUCACACCUGUUCCCAUGCCGAACACAGAAGUUAAGCUCUUUAGCGCCGAUGGUAGUCGGAUUUACGUUCCGCGAGAGUAGGACGUUGCCAAGC
rnacentral:rRNA from 1 species